UACGUAGGGUGCAAGCGUUAAUCGGAAUUACUGGGCGUAAAGCGUGCGCAGGCGGUUGUGCAAGACAGAUGUGAAAUCCCCGGGCUCAACCUGGGAAUUGCGCAGGAUACUGUUGAGCUGGAGUAGCGGAGAGGAUGGCGGAAUACCCGGUGUAGAGGUGAAAUUCGUAGAUAUCGGGUGGAACACCUGUGGCGAAGGCGGCCAUCUGACGUUCGACUACGGCUGAGACGCGAAAGCGUGGGAUAGCAAACGAGGG
rnacentral:rRNA from 1 species